rnacentral:rRNA from 1 species
AUUGAACGCUGGCGGCAGGCCUAACACAUGCAAGUCGAACGAGUGGCGGACGGGUGAGUAAUGUCUGGGAAACCGCCUGAUGGAGGGGGAUAACUACUGGAAACGGUAGCUAAUACCGCAUACCAUCGGAUGUGCCCAGAUGGGAUUAGAUAGUAGGUGGGGUAACGGCGCACCUAGGCGAAGAUCCCUAGCUGGUCUGAGGGGAUGACCAGCCACACUGGAACUGAGACACGGUCCAGACUCCUACGGGAGGCAGCAGUGGGGAAUAUUGCACAAUGGGCGCAAGCCUGAUGCAGCCAUGCCGCGUGUAUGAAGAAGGCCUUCGGGUUGUAAAGCACUUUCAGCGGGGAGGCGUUACCCGCAGAAGAAGCACCGGCUAACUCCGUGCCAGCAGCCGCGGUAAUU